CAAACGUUCAAGGGUGGAGCUAUUGAUCAUAAUAUUCUUUACCCCAUCAAUGUGAUCAAGCAAUAAUUCCUCAAGGUGCUUGCAGAAAGAUGAAAUCCACUCUCCAAAACUAUCAUUAUUAAUUCUUACAUUUCUCAAAGAUAAGGAUUUGAGAUUGUAGAAGCCACCUGAAGAGGGAAAUUCAAGAAUGCUUCUGUGCAAGUCUAUUUCGAAUUUCUUCAAAGACUUGCAGUGAUAGACAGAAAUUGGCAACGAGAAAACCUCUACACCUUUGAGGAUGAAUUCAAGCUCAAGCCAUUGAACC
rnacentral:misc_RNA from 1 species